GACGAUCGCUGGCGGCGUGCUUAACACAUGCAAGUCGAACGGUAAGGCCUUCGGGUACACGAGUGGCGAACGGGUGAGUAACACGUGGGUGAUCUGCCCCCUACUCUGGGAUAAGCCUGGGAAACUGGGUCUAAUACCGGAUAUGACCUUGAGCUUCAUGGUUCUUGGUGGAAAGUUUUUUCGGUAGGGGAUGAGCCCGCGGCCUAUCAGCUUGUUGGUGGGGUAAUGGCCUACCAAGGCGACGACGGGUAGCCGGCCUGAGAGGGCGACCGGCCACACUGGGACUGAGACACGGCCCAGACUCCUACGGGAGGCAGCAGUGGGGAAUAUUGCACAAUGGGCGAAAGCCUGAUGCAGCGACGCCGCGUGGGGGAUGACGGCCUUCGGGUUGUAAACCCCUUUCAGUCGGGACGAAGCGAGAGUGACGGUACCGAUAGAAGAAGCACCGGCCAACUACGUGCCAGCAGCCGCGGUAACAC
rnacentral:rRNA from 1 species